UUCAGCUCAAUUUACGUGAAUGCCCUUCGCUUCAAAUGGAAUCGGCGCAAUUCAGUUUGCCUAUUUUUUUCGUCCCUGUACUCUAAUUUUUUCCUGAAAUUUAGAAUUAAUCAACGAUAUACUCUGCUUGUAAAUAGGUAUUUGAUAUGCUGACUUCUUAUAGGCAAACAAUCUUCUCUCGACAAAAGUUUAGGGUUUUGGAUGGUAUUCAUCGCCGCCAACAAUCUUCUGUUAACUUUUUUCGAUCAACAAAACCUUUUAAUCUUGGAUUCGUUCACAUUCCAGAGCAAGAGCAGAAGAAAGUAAAAGAUCGAAUUUGACAUCCAUUCUUCGCUUAGCGUUUCGAAGAUCGAACUCGACAUCCAUUCUUCGGUUAGGAAGCAAAUUUCUCUCUUCCCGUCAAUUUUAGUUGACAAAUCUGUAACUAUGAAUUGGGAUUCUUUGGCGCAUGGCAGACAUAUUUCUUGGAAGCAUCUGCUCUCACGAUUGCUCAUCUCCAUGAAUUCAAAUCGAAAAUUUGUCACUUCAUUAAGAAUAUCCAAAUUUUAGGAACGAAAUUGAUUCUCAGUAUUUGUACAAUUUCAUAUUCGCAGCUUCAAAAUGAUUUUUUUUUUUCAUGUUUCAAUUUCUAUUACAGCAGCAUAUCCGUAAAUCAAAAGUCAGAGAACACCCGCAUCAACAAAAAACCCAAAUGGUAUGUCGAUUUUAAUUCUAGGGUUUCCACUUUGAGAUUUAAGUAUCACUUUUAGAUAUAUUAUUUUGGUCGUCAUUAUGUGUGCCUCUUCCCUCUUCCCACUUCUCCUUCUCAUGCUUUCAGAUGUUAAAAUGUGGUUAAUUUAUACUUUAUGUUAAAGUUUCAUAUUCCAUUCACUGUUAUUAGUAUUAAUCAUAGCACUAAAGGCCAUGAAUCUGUGAGUUAUAUCCAAAUCUAUAAUCGGUUGCAAAAUAAAUCCACUAAAGAAGGUAACAUAUAUGCAUAAUUAUAUAUUUUUUUUGCCUAUUUAUUUCACCAUUUUUUGUAUGAUGCCAGGUAGGCUAGAAAGUCCUUCUGAUUUGAUUCACAAUAUGGUUAGUAGUAUUACAAGCUUCACUGAUAGGUAUGUUUUUUAAAAGUUUGGAGUACAAGACAUUUGGUAACAUCAGACAUAAAAAGAAUGAUAAAGUGAUUCACUCUUAUCUAUUUGAUCAUAUGACUUUUUUUUUUUUUUUUUUUUUUAUGUCUGAUAACAUGACCGGGGAAUGAAAAUACAGCUUUGAAAAAAUAGAAGCAUGAAAGAGAAACGUGAUUACAUGGCUAAUAAGAAAAAAAUGUGGCCAAAAUUUUGUUGUUUGUCUAUGUGUUUUACCCAAGGAUGCGUUACUUUCUUUAUCGACAUUUGACAUGGUUCAAUGCCCCCAAUUGGAGCGAGUACAACAAGCUGGAAACGUUGUAAAGAAGUAUGAUUUUCCAAGGAUGAUUCCUGCUCAUUUAGUUUUGACCGAGUGUUAAAAAAUCUCAAGAAAUAAACCUAAUUUAUCUUUAUUGCAUAUAGUUUUUAGAGUGUAAUACUUAGACAAAUACUCUAUUUCUUUUUGUUGUUCCACUCUAUGAUUUUCAUGUCGC